rnacentral:rRNA from 1 species
UACGAGGGGUGCAAGCGUUGCUCGGAAUUAUUGGGCGUAAAGGGUAGGUAGGUGGUCUCAUUUGUCUGGGGUGAAAGCCUUGAGCUUAACUCAAGAAGUGCCCCAGAAACGGUGAGACUCGAGUACUGGAGAGGGUCGUGGAAUUCCCGGUGUAGCGGUGAAAUGCGUAGAGAUCGGGAGGAACACCAGUGGCGAAGGCGGCGACCUGGACAGUAACUGACACUCAACUACGAAAGCGUGGGGAGCAAACAGG